AAAAAAGGUAAGCUACUAAGAGCGAAUGGUGGAUGCCUUGACUGGUAAAGGCGAUGAAGGACGUACUAGACUGCGAUAAGCUACGGGGAGCUGUCAAGAAGCUUUGAUCCGUAGAUUUCCGAAUGGGGCAACCCAAUGUAUAGAGAUAUACAUUACCUAUAUAGGAGCGAACGAGGGGAAUUGAAACAUCUUAGUACCCUCAGGAAAAGAAAUCAAUAGAGAUUGCGUCAGUAGCGGCGAGCGAAAGCGCAAGAGGGCAAACCCAGUGCUUGCACUGGGGGUUGUAGGACUGCAAUGUGCAAGAGCUGAGUUUAGCAGAACAUUCUGGAAAGUAUAGCCAUAGAGGGUGAUAGUCCCGUAUGCGAAAAACAAAGCUUAGCUAGCAGUAUCCUGAGUAGGGCGGGACACGAGGAAUCCUGUCUGAAUCCGGGUCGACCACGAUCCAACCCUAAAUACUAAUACCAGAUCGAUAGUGCACAAGUACCGUGAGGGAAAGGUGAAAAGAACUGAGGUGAUCAGAGUGAAAUAGAACCUGAAACCAUUUGCUUACAAUCAUUCAGAGCACUAUGUAGCAAUACAGUGUGAUGGACUGCCUUUUGCAUAAUGAGCCUGCGAGUUGUGGUGUCUGGCAAGGUUAAGCAAACGCGAAGCCGUAGCGAAAGCGAGUCUGAAUAGGGCGCUUAGUCAGAUGCUGCAGACCCGAAACGAAGUGAUCUAUCCAUGAGCAAGUUGAAGCUAGUGUAAGAACUAGUGGAGGACUGAACCCAUAGGCGUUGAAAAGCCCCGGGAUGACUUGUGGAUAGGGGUGAAAGGCCAAUCAAACUUCGUGAUAGCUGGUUCUCUCCGAAAUAUAUUUAGGUAUAGCGUUGUGUCGUAAUAUAAGGGGGUAGAGCACUGAAUGGGCUAGGGCAUACACCAAUGUACCAAACCCUAUCAAACUCCGAAUACCUUAUAUGUAAUCACAGCAGUCAGGCGGCGAGUGAUAAAAUCCGUCGUCAAGAGGGAAACAACCCAGACUACCAGCUAAGGUCCCUAAAUCUUACUUAAGUGGAAAACGAUGUGAAGUUACUUAAACAACCAGGAGGUUGGCUUAGAAGCAGCCAUCCUUUAAAGAAAGCGUAAUAGCUCACUGGUCUAGUGAUUUUGCGCGGAAAAUAUAACGGGGCUAAAGUAAGUACCGAAGCUGUAGACUUGCGCACAACUUAGAUUAUUUAAGUUUAGAAUAUGAGAAACUAAGUUAUAUUUUUACUGAUUUUUAUAGAGUAAAGAUAGAAAUAAAACUUAGUAAAAUCAGUAAAAAUAUUCUUAGGCUAAAGUUAAGUAGUUUAAGUUGUGUGCAAGUGGUAGGAGAGCGUUCUAUUUGCGUCGAAGGUAUACCGGUAAGGAGUGCUGGAGCGAAUAGAAGUGAGCAUGCAGGCAUGAGUAGCGAUAAUUAAUGUGAGAAUCAUUAACGCCGUAAACCCAAGGUUUCCUACGCGAUGCUCGUCAUCGUAGGGUUAGUCGGGUCCUAAGUCGAGUCCGAAAGGGGUAGACGAUGGCAAAUUGGUUAAUAUUCCAAUACCAACAUUAGUGUGCGAUGGAAGGACGCUUAGGGCUAAGGGGGCUAGCGGAUGGAAGUGCUAGUCUAAGGUCGUAGGAGGUUAUACAGGCAAAUCCGUAUAACAAUACUCCGAGAACUGAAAGGCUUUUUGAAGUCUUCGGAUGGAUAGAAGAACCCCUGAUGCCGUCGAGCCAAGAAAAGUUUCUAAGUUUAGCUAAUGUUGCCCGUACCGUAAACCGACACAGGUGGGUGGGAUGAGUAUUCUAAGGCGCGUGGAAGAACUCUCUUUAAGGAACUCUGCAAAAUAGCAC
rnacentral:rRNA from 1 species